rnacentral:lncRNA from 1 species
GAUGGCGACAUGUAGAAAUUUGAAGGGAUGUUUGCUUGCCCUUUUUAUGGUCUAAGGCUUCCAAAUUGUGGCCAAAUAUUUCGAGCUCACAAAGGACGUUCUUCUUCGAUCUGCAAUUCUUGCGACCCUAGGGAUCAACGAACCCAACUAAUAGACAACAUCAGGUAUUUAUCCUGCAGUUUGUUUUCUUUGCAAGCAAAAGUCUCUAUUGUGAACCCGUUUUUACUUAAACCAGACACUGAUCUGAGAGUGAUCCAGGGAAGAAAUACCAAAGACGCGGCCUCAAGCUGCUAUUGACCUGCAGGAAUCUGAAAAAGGACACUUUACAGAGGUUUUGGAAGCCCCAGCUUGAGCCCCCAGCGGCAUUGGGAAAUCUGGCAGUGGUGCUCGUGAGCCCAGAGAAGCCUCCCAAUGUUGGUGCGGUGGCUCGCGCCUGCAACUGCUUCGAGGUGGAUGAACUCCGCAUCGUGGGUCCUUCCUGCCCAACAACGGUCA